rnacentral:tRNA from 3 species
GUCCCUAUCGUCUAGUGGUCCAGGACCGCAGCCUCUCACGUUGCUAACGCGGGUUCGAACCCCGCUGGGGACGCCA